rnacentral:rRNA from 1 species
GAUGAACGCUGGCGGCGUGCCUAAUACAUGCAAGUCGAGCGAACAGACGAGGAGCUUGCUCCUCUGACGUUAGCGGCGGACGGGUGAGUAACACGUGGAUAACCUACCUAUAAGACUGGGAUAACUUCGGGAAACCGGAGAUAAUACCGGAUAAUAUAUUGUACCGCAUGGUUCAAUAGUGAAUGACGGUUUUGCUGUCACUUAUAGAUGGUUCCGCGCCGCAUUAGCUAGUUGGUAAGGUAACGGCUUACCAAGGCAACGAUGCGUAGCCGACCUGAGAGGGUGAUCGGCCACACUGGAACUGAGACACGGUCCAGACUCCUACGGGAGGCAGCAGUAGGGAAUCUUCCGCAAUGGGCGAAAGCCUGACGGAGCAACGCCGCGUGAGUGAUGAAGGUCUUCGGAUCGUAAAGCUCUGUUAUUAGGGAAGAACAAAUGUGUAAGUAACUAUGCACGUCUUGACGGUACCUAAUCAGAAAGCCACGGCUAACUACGUG